GGAUGCGAUCAUACCAGCACUAAAGCACCGGAUCCCAUCAGAACUUCGAAGUUAAGCGUGCUUGGGCGAGAGUAGUACUAGGAUGGGUGACCUCUUGGGAAGUCCUCGUGUUGCAUUCC
rnacentral:rRNA from 1 species